UGGGGAAUUUUGGACAAUGGGGGCAACCCUGAUCCAGCCAUCCCGCGUGUGCGAUGAAGGCCUUCGGGUUGUAAAGCACUUUUGGCAGGGAAGAAACAGCCUGGGAUAAUACCCCGGGCGACUGACGGUACCUGCAGAAUAAGCACCGGCUAACUACGUGCCAGCAGCCGCGGUAAUACGUAGGGUGCAAGCGUUAAUCGGAAUUACUGGGCGUAAAGCGUGCGCAGGCGGUUCGGAAAGAAAGGUGUGAAAUCCCAGGGCUUAACCUUGGAACUGCACUUUUAACUACCGAGCUAGAGUACGUCAGAGGGGGGUAGAAUUCCACGUGUAGCAGUGAAAUGCGUAGAGAUGUGGAGGAAUACCGAUGGCGAAGGCAGCCCCCUGGGCCAAUACUGACGCUCAUGCACGAAAGCGUGGGGAGCAAACAGGAUUAGAUACCCUGGUAGUCCACGCCCUAAACGAUGUCAACUAGUUGUUGGGGAUUCAUUUCCUUAGUAACGUAGCUAACGCGUG
rnacentral:rRNA from 1 species